GUUCAGUGGAUUUAGCUCCAUCUGUACAUCAUACUCACGUCAUAUUCCCACCAACCUUUUCAUCUGUCUGCCUGCCUGCAUGUCUGUCUGUCUGUCUGUCUAUCUUGUGAAUUGGGUGGGAAGAGGCAGUAUACAGAGAAUUUCCCUUUUUGUAAUUACUGGGUAAUUAAUAGUAGUUAUUUCUUUAAAUGAAAGAAGAAAGGUUUCAA